CAAUAGCGUAUAUUAAAGUUGUUGCAGUUAAAAAGCUCGUAGUUGGAUUUCUGGUCGGAAGCUCCUGUCCUCUGAUGAGCGUACAAGUGCGUCCUACCAUCCUUCUGUUAACCUUUAAGGCUUUCGCGGCUUUCUAGGGGCUCAGAUAUUUUACCUUGAGAAAAUUAGAGUGUUUCAGGCAGGCUAGCGCCGGAAUACAUUAGCAUGGAAUAAUGGAAUAGGACUUUUGCCUCUUCUGUUGGUCAUGAGGCUCGAGUAAUGAUUAAUAGGGAUAGUUGGGGGCAUUAGUACGUAACUGUCAGAGGUGAAAUUCUCGGAUUUGUUAAAGACUAACUUAUGCGAAAGCAUUUGCCAAGGAUGUUUUCAUUAA
rnacentral:rRNA from 1 species